GAAAGGAAUAGUGCACUUGGUUCAGUCACCAAAAUGUACAAAUAAUAGAGAAGUAAGAAGCACAGACCAGAAAUCAUCUCCCAGUCUGGAGUGUGUGCUCACCGCAGAGCUGUUUUUGUGUCAUUGCGUACAACAGCUGGACGCCACACAAUGGUCUGUUAUUUCUCGUGUCGUGGGUCAGUGGGCGGUUCUGCUGAUCUACGCUGGGUUAGCGGGGCUCCCUCACCCAGUGCUGGGGGCUGGGAUGGACGAUCCAAGUGGCCUUGGCGGGGAUGACCAGCCAUGCUUCACAUGUCCACCCUCCACCGGGCUGGCCAGGAGAGAGCCCGGAACACACAGGCUUCCUAGCUUGGACCUGGCACAGCGUCACUUCUGUCACAUCCCAAGGCCUGGACUCCAGGGCAGAGGAGAUGGAACCCCCUCUGGUGGGAGAAGCUGCUGUCACACGGCAGAGGCCUGCGUGCUGGGAGGGGAACCAGCCAGCUGGGGUCAGGCCUUCACAGCCUUCCAACUCAUAAUCAUUCUGCAGCAAUCGGUUGCAUGAACUUUAUGAUUUCGUUCACUACAAAUGUCAGCAAAUGUGAAAUGUCCCCGGAGGUUCAAACCCCCAUGUCGUUAGUGCUUCCUACAGCGCUGGAUCCCUUUGUGACCAUCUCUCCAUGGUAAUCAGCAGGCACAAAGCAACUGGCUUUAAUCUCCACAGGGGCCAACUGCUCAGGAAAUUAUUUGGGGCUGGCAGCUGCCCCGGCCUCCUAGACGCGCCUGUACGCGCCUCGACAUUCACACCACAGACGCAGCUGUGCAGGCCCCUGACGUCCCCGGAAAAUGCAGAGUCAGCACAUAAAGUAAAAUGUGGAGGUUUGAGAUGAAGAAAACCAAGAGGAGAAUCGCACACAAGCAGCGGGGGCACCUCAUCACAAGGAAUCGCACCCUAUUCCUGACACUUGAGUCCGUGACCCUCUUCUCACUGUUCUUGGUCCCUCGUACUUGGCGUUAUCCUCCGUUUAUGCAGAUCGCCCUAUAUUGUUUGACUGACACGAGGUGGGAUGCCUCCACAGCACAGCUGAUGAGUGGAGCGGGUCCACACCCAUGGUCUGAGCCAACAAACCUGGGCCACUGAAGCAGAGUGCAAGGAAAGAUCAUGAGCCGUGAAGAGCUUGUUUGGCACUGAGCUCUGCUGUCCUGCGAGAGGAGAGACGUGGUAGAGUCAACCUAUUCCUCUUACUGCCUUCAAUGUGUCCAAUCACAAUAUUUGUGCCCCAUCAGUGUGCUGGAACUUCUCUGCUGGACUCCUGGAAUUCCACGAGAGCUUUCUCAUCCAUGGAGGUUGUCUGGAUGCAGUUGGAAGUGACUGAUACGUCUGCUGAUAGAUGGGCCGCGUAGACAGACUGCUGGUUAACUUACCUGAGGAUCGCGGCUGGAAGACCUGAGGCCAAGAAGUUCUAACAUCUGCCAUUGGCAAGCUAAAGAGGCAGGAGAGCUGAUGUUCCAGCCCCAGGCCAAGUCUGAAGAAAUAGAAGACUUAUAUCUCACCUGGAGACAGCCAGGCAGAGAGAGAGGACACAGCAGCAUCGGCCCUCUGCUCCUUCACACUAAAUAUAACUAUAAACCCUGGAAGUAACACAGCACGCAGCCAAAGGAGAGCUCUGAAAGGUGGAAGUGGAAGGAGAACUGGUUUGAGACCCGAGGACCAGAGAAACAGCACAGUGCCAGCUGGUGUGAGCCCCUCCAAUCAACUGAUGAAGCCAACUGACCUGGACCUGGGGUUUCCCAACCCCCAGCCCAGCAACAGAAGGUGGCCAGGAAGCAGACAACGGCCUGGUUAGACCUGUGUAGAGAUGUUCAUGGAUUCCAUCUUCUGGUGGUGUUUGCACGCUCCCCUGUAAGGAUCAGAGGGGGAUCCAGAGUUACCUCCCCACGAUGGGCAGAAGCAGGAUAGAGAAGACUUUCAAAAGCAGCCCCUUCUGUGGGAUUAGACAGGCUGGUUCCAAAAUGCACAUGGAAAUGAACGUCCAAGAAGAACAUGGUGGAAGGCUGUGCUCCACCAAGAGUGAGACCUGUUUUAAAGCCGUAAUAAUCAGGCCAGGGGAUGUCAGUGCGGGGAGAGGAAGACAGACUCAGCUCGGCGCAAGACCCACUGGUUCACAGACACAACUUGUGUCUGAAAUGGCCCUGCAGAGCGGGGGAGAAAAGUCUUUCCGAUAAAAGUGCUGGAAACUGGGAAUGCAGCUGGAAACAUAAACUGGUC
ensembl:lncRNA